GUCUGAGUUCCCCGUGCUAUGGAGCCCAUUGGAUGCUCUCACUUCCUGCUUGACAGUUUGGACACACGACUAACAGGGAGACAAAAGACACAGCUGACUGCCGAGCAACGUGCUUGGCGUUGGCAGACAUCGCUGUAAUGCUUCAGGAGACUUCGGCAGGAAGGAGGCUUGUUUACAUGGAGCUUGAACCCGGUUCUACUCAACUACCAACCCACAAGGCCUCGCUGUGUGUUGCCAACAUCUCCUGCCGUAGAGCCUUGUUAUUAAGACCAACGGAUAUUGGCAUCCAGGGACUGGAGGCCAUAAUCACAGGGGAUAGAUCUGCACCAAGCAGUGGGCCAACUCAGAGAUAUUUCAUUACUGAUCCAGUAACCAUCAUUUACUUGUGUGUGUGUGUGUGUGUGUAAGGCUAAAGGGUAACAUUUGUUCUUGCCUGUUUCCCAUUUUCCCUCAAUCAGAGGAACCUCUUGUCCAAUUUCACCAUCCCCUUACUUCCACCCCCAUCCUCCACUAAUUAGGGUUCCAGAUCACUGCCACAUGCAUGUGGGCUGACAGCGGUGUGUGUGUGUGUGUGUGUGUGUGUGUGUGCGCGCGAGUGUGCACGUAUGUAUAUUUAUGUUCAUCUCAAGGGGUCAAGGAGAUGUUCCUUGCCUCACUAACUAUUAAAAGGCUGACCCCAGAUUUAGUCUCAGAUUACUAGAUUGCCAAAUGUUUUCCACAUGGUCUUUCCAUAUCAAUCUAGAGCUCGUUGGCCCAUGUUCUGGCUUGGCCCCUCGUCGUCCCACUCUCACCCGACUACAGAAACACAAUGCCAUAGCACACAAAUGGAUGACUUCAUGCCUCGUAAUGUUUUUCAGACGUUUCCCUCAGAUUUGUAAUGUUGACUGAGAAGCAGUGUUCGCUCUUAACCCGGCUACCAAUUUGCCUGCCUGAUUUAUAGUUGUGCUGUGAAAAGGAGGAUAUCGGGGUGAAAUCAUGGGUUCCUGUGGUUGGAGGAUUGUUGUAUGAAACCAGCAGCCCUUUAUUCAGGCAGCCGAUUGGAGGCCCCUCAGUUUAGCCAAAAACAAAAUGUGCUAAAAUGAUUUGGAACUGGACUGAGGCAGGUGUGUCUGUGUGUUUCUGUGUGUGUCUGUGUCUCUGUGUGUGUGUGUGUGUGGGUGUGUGUGUGGUUAAAAUGUACGGUAUGUUCAUUAUUUACAGACUUUUUAUCAAUAUAAUUUAUUCUUAACCCACAAAUUAUGUAAUAUUUUUGUCAAAUUAUUAUACCAGAGUCAGAGCCAGUUUUAGCUCUUUAAUCUCAAAUUAGGAAAUCUCUACUGUACAUUUUUGCUAAUUGUUGAUAUUGUUCAAGCUAUACAGGUUUCUACUUCAGGUAUCCACUGGUUUCCAUUUUGUUAUUGUACAUUAUGACAAUCAAUUAUCAAAAUUUGUGAAACUUGCUUAAAUUGUGUGAUGCAG